rnacentral:rRNA from 1 species
GUGUCAGCAGCCGCGGUAAUACGUAGGGGGCAAGCGUUGUCCGGAUUUAUUGGGCGUAAAGAGCGUGUAGGCGGCUUGGUAGGUCUCGCGUCAAAACCUGAGGCUCAACCUCAGUUCGCGUGGGAAACCACCUAGCUAGAGUCCGGAAGAGGAGAACGGAAUUCCCAGUGUAGCGGUGAAAUGCGCAGAUAUUGGGAAGAACACCAGUGGCGAAGGCGGUUCUCUGGGACGGUACUGACGCUGAGACGCGAAAGCGUGGGGAGCGAACAGGAUUAGAUACCCUGGUAGUCCACGCCGUAAACGAUGGGCGCUAGGUGUGGGAGGUGUCGACUCCUUCCGUGCCGAAGCUAACGCAUUAAGCGCCCCGCCUGGGGAGUACGGCCGCAAGGCUAAA